rnacentral:rRNA from 2 species
UACGGAGGGGGCUAGCGUUGUUCGGAAUUACUGGGCGUAAAGCGCGCGUAGGCGGCUUUGUAAGUUAGAGGUGAAAGCCCGGAGCUUAACUCCGGAAUUGCCUUUAAGACUGCAUCGCUAGAAUCGUGGAGAGGUGAGUGGAAUUCCGAGUGUAGAGGUGAAAUUCGUAGAUAUUCGGAAGAACACCAGUGGCGAAGGCGACUCACUGGACACGUAUUGACGCUGAGGUGCGAAAGCGUGGGGAGCAAACAGG